rnacentral:rRNA from 1 species
GAUGAACGCUAGCUACAGGCUUAACACAUGCAAGUCGAGGGGCAGCAUGAACUUAGCUUGCUAAGUUUGAUGGCGACCGGCGCACGGGUGAGUAACACGUAUCCAACCUGCCGAUGACUCGGGGAUAGCCUUUCGAAAGAAAGAUUAAUACCCGAUGGCAUAGUUCUUCCGCAUGGUAGAACUAUUAAAGAAUUUCGGUCAUCGAUGGGGAUGCGUUCCAUUAGGUUGUUGGCGGGGUAACGGCCCACCAAGCCUUCGAUGGAUAGGGGUUCUGAGAGGAAGGUCCCCCACAUUGGAACUGAGACACGGUCCAAACUCCUACGGGAGGCAGCAGUGAGGAAUAUUGGUCAAAGGACGAGAGUCUGAACCAGCCAAGUAGCGUGAAGGAUGACUGCCCUAUGGGUUGUAAACUUCUUUUAUACGGGAAUAAAGUGAGGCACGUGUGCCUUUUUGUAUGUACCGUAUGAAUAAGGAUCGGCUAACUCCGUG